AAUUUUACCCAAAAGAGGAGAUACUAUAAUCACAAAGGUAUUUUUUCCAGGGUGAGGCUCAUCCAUUGCACUCUAAAUAUGCUGCCCCUUAUCAUUUCCUGAAAUUUGGGGAAUUGUGUAAUUAAUGACAAUAGGGGACUGUGUUCCCAUUUUUCCCUU
ensembl:snRNA U1 U1 spliceosomal RNA